AAGGAAGGGGCAGCUUCUAAAUGACUAAGGACUUUGGCUCAGUCCCCCUUAUGUCCAUUGGAACCCAGGUAUCAGCCUACUGUGGAUCCUUUUGAUACUGGCUUUUCUGAGGUGAAGCCUUCUCUGGGAUGAAGAGUCUUCUUUCUAACCCCAUAUAUAUUUCUAAACACCAACAUUUUACACCGAAGCUGGCUUUGUUUUGAAGUAACGGUUCUUCACCUUGUGCUCCCUGGAAGCAGCUGAUGAAAUGUCAGCUUGGAAUAGAGAUUAGUGGAGUCUUUUACUGGAGAUAUCUGGAGAUAUGCAAUGCAUUAUAUUGACUACAUUCACUCACAGGGCCAGAGU